AUUAUUCGUUUUAAAUACGAAGGUUAUCUUACCCGUAGUAACUAAAUAGAUUAUGGCCAUUUUAGAAAUAUGUACCUACACGAAAAAGUGUGACGGACUUUGAUGACGCAAUCCUAAAGUAUGGCAAGAACAGUAGGUGGUAUGGCCUUAAUUAAUUAUGUGGUUUUUUAUGUGGUACGACAAAAUAUAUUCAUGAUGGACCUAUGUUAAUAAAAAAGUUAUAGGCAAAGGUAAGGGAGAAACGGCUUUAAUAAUAUUAUAUUACGGUCCUACGUGUGUUUUAUUAAAAAAAUUACUUAAUCGACGAAGACCAUUAAAAGACGUGGAAGAUAUUUUUUAUCUACUCGAUACGCUCACGCGAGCAAGAAAUGAUUGGUAUAUUUUGUACUUACUUACCUACUUAUAACUAGAUAUGUAAAAUGAAUGUCCACUUAUUAGAUAAACUCUAUACAUUGUAUUGAAUAAUAAAUUUUGGAAUCUAUUAGGUUGUAAGUAGGUAGUUAGUUAGGUAGGUACUUACUUAUUUAUUGCGCUUUGAAUUAAUUGACAGGGAAUACCUGUUCGCAUAAUAUGUACAUUCUGUUUUUCUUGCAAUAAAGGAAAUCAAACUUUCUCAUUCCCCAAUCCCCAUAGCUGAGUGCAGUAAUGUGCAGCAUCCGGAUUGAGCAGUGAAAAUCCGAAGUUCAAUGAUGAAGUCAAUGUUUGGUAAGUACCUACCUACAAUAUCAAUUCACCAUAAACAUUUCCUAAAUCCCCACAGCUUAGGAAUCCAGUUUCCAGCAAUAUCAUUGAGAAGUUGGGACGUGGAAAUCGUGGAAUUCAAUAAUGAAGUCUAUACUUGGCGUCUAUAUUAUUUCAUCAAUAGGGCUCAUCAGGGCUGAGGAGUUGGAACUUGGGAUUCAAUCAUGAAGUCGUUGUUUGGUACCUACAGUAUUAAUGCACCAUCAACAAUUUCUGAAUUUCCAUAACUUAUGCGGGCAGUAACUCUGCAGCAUCAGGAUUAAGGAGUUGGACCCAGAAAAAUUACGGGACCAUUUUGUGAACAUUCUCUAUUGAUUAAAAAACAAAUGCAAAUAGGAAAGGUCGAAGUAAUGGGUGUACAUAAAUAGAAAACGCAACAAAUUGAGGACCUUCUGCCUCCAUUCUGCAAUCACAAGCAAUCCUGUGAUUCUCAAAUGGCAAACAAGGAUUAAUACACAUAAUUUUAUUGAUCUAGGCUAUAAUGAUAGCAAAAAACGCCCAACAUCAUGGAGGAGUGGAGACCUUGGAUAAAUGUUUGCUGGUACCAAAGGACGCUGCACCGCGCCGGUGGAUUUCGUCAUUCAUAAUAAUCUAUACAUAUACCUAGUUACUUAGAGGUAUACCCUGUUGACGUCACAACUGUUGACCUCGAACUCUCCCCCAGUUAUCGAUCGAAUCCACCAUUUCAAAGGGGAGGCUUAGUCACCAACGAUAAUGCAAUGAAUCAUUAAUAUCGAUGGAUUACUUCAAAAUAGAAGUAACAUUGAUUACUUUAAUGCCACGUAAAAGGUACCUGAUUAAACAAUGUUAUCAGCAUUUUAUCGACUAGGAUCAUUUGCUACGUGAUGAAGUUAUUUGAAGUAUAAAUUAUGAAGCUGUUAAUUAAAAGUUUUGAUUGAUUGAUAUGUUCAAGCUAGCCUUACAUAGGUCUCUAGAUUAUUUGAACCAAUAUUUAGGUGAACAAAUGGAUUGUAACUCACAAUUAAAUGUUAAGAAUUCACAAAAGCGUAAACGAUCAGGAGUCAGGAAUGAAUAGCUAAUAGAGCCAUACCUAAUUCUAAGACAAGCUUUAAAUUGGAGAGGAAUGGGGAAUAUAAGUAGGUACCUAAUGCAUAACUUGGCUAGUAUUCCUAUUUAAAACAAAAUAUUUAUCACGGCAUUAAGUAAAUUGUGAUUGUUAGUUUUGCCUGACCAUGCUUUCAACCGGGACCACUAAUUGUGUACGGUUCCACGUGUUCUAAACACGAGGCCAUCACGGCAAUGUUGUAUCUAUCAUCAACAUCAACAUAACUAAAUAAAUUUACAUUCCAAUUUUACAGACCUAGAUAUGAAACUGUACGAAAGUACUAUACUUAACUACUUACGCAUAGGUACUACAAAAAUAUAAAACUAGUCCACCAAUUCAUACAUCAAUAACAUCAACUUUCAUAUUUUCUGAAAAUAUUCAAGGUCGCAAAUGACGUCCGAAGUCCGAACAAUCACUUCCCAGAAAUUAAGAGAUCAGGUUUUUUAGUCGAUGAAUACAGAAAUAUAAUUAAUGGAAACAAACUGAGUCUGAUAAAUGAAAUGGACAUUCUUAAUGAUAAUUUAAUUGCUAAUGCCAUUACUGUGAAAACACAAGUUAAUUAUAACAAUACAAAGUUAUUUGAUGUGGGUAAACUAGUUUCGGAAAGUUUUAAAUUAUUCUUUGGAAAUAUUCAAAUAGAAAUGAAUAUAACAUUGGAAUAUCAUGGGAAUAUCACUUAUUUGACAAACUGUAGGACAUUGAAAACCCAUCUAUUUCACCAUGUUUGAUUAAAAUUCUGGUACCAAUAAUAAUCUUUUACUAGAAUUAGCCAAGGUCACAACUAUCAACAUCCUUGGGUCAUCGAAGGACAUAUAAAUACGUUUAUAGAGCUCUCUACAUAUUCUACUGAUCCGCUAGAAAAUAGAAAAGAUACCUACCUUAUUUGAAUUGAAAACCCCAAAAUACUAGAAAACUUUCAUAUUUUUAAGUGAAAGUAGGUAGGAUAUUGUCUGUAACGUUUAUAAAGAUCUCGACAUACGAGGUUGUUUCAACAUCAACCUCGAAAUUAAUUCUUGCGCAAUCACAAUUUUUAUGAUAAGAAUUUAUGUUCCGAUCAAAGUUCAAGACAAAUUCAUUUAGAGGUUGAAUAUUUGGUGGUCAAAAAAGAGAUUUAAAUUGAUAAAAGUCUACACAAUUCUAGAAAACACUAAGUACAAAAUAUAUACAUAGGAUUGAGUACUUAGAAAGUUGGAACACGCAUUCAACACAACGUGAUCGCGGCAGGUUGAAACACGUUCACGUGUACUAUUUAUAAAGUAGCUGAACUUUUAGUAGCACUAUAAUUGCUUUCGAUAUCAUAAAACUUAAAUCUAACAACUGAAAUACAAACAAUUUGUAAAGUCGCAAGGUCGAUAGGAACUUAUAAGAAUAUUUAAUGAGCACAAAAUAAUUAGCCUAAGUAAAACUCACCUUACAAAAAGUAUCUUUUUGCGGGCUUGUAGCACGGGGGAAAUAAGUUACCCUUUAAAA